UACGUAGGUGGCGAGCGUUGUCCGGAUUUAUUGGGCGUAAGGCGCCCGCAGGCGGCCUGAUAAGUUUCAGGUGAAAUCUCCCGGCUCAACUGGGAGGGGUCCUGGAAAACUGUCAGGCUUGAGGCAGGGAGAGGGAUGUGGAAUUCCCGGUGUAGUGGUGAAAUGCGUAGAUAUCGGGAGGAACACCAGUGGCGAAGGCGGCAUCCUGGCCCUGUCCUGACGCUCAGGGGCGAAAGCGUGGGGAGCAAACCGG
rnacentral:rRNA from 1 species